rnacentral:rRNA from 1 species
UUAGCUUGCUAAGGCCGAUGGCGAUCGGCGCACGGGUGAGUAACACGUAUCCAACCUGCCGUCUACUCUUGGACAGCCUUCUGAAAGGAAGAUUAAUACAAGAUGGCAUCAUGAGUCCGCAUGUUCACAUGAUUAAAGGUAUUCCGGUAGACGAUGGGGAUGCGUUCCAUUAGAUAGUAGGCGGGGUAACGGCCCACCUAGUCUUCGAUGGAUAGGGGUUCUGAGAGGAAGGUCCCCCACAUUGGAACUGAGACACGGUCCAAACUCCUACGGGAGGCAGCAGUGAGGAAUAUUGGUCAAUGGGCGAGAGCCUGAACCAGCCAAGUAGCGUGAAGGAUGACUGCCCUAUGGGUUGUAAACUUCUUUUAUAAAGGAAUAAAGUCGGGUAUGGAUACCCGUUUGCAUGUACUUUAUGAAUAAGGAUCGGCUAACUCCGUGCCAGCAGCCGCGGUAAUACGGAGGAUCCGAGCGUUAUCCGGAUUUAUUGAGUUUAAAGGGAGCGUAGAUGGAUGUUUAAGUCAGUCGUGAAAGUUUGCGGCUCAACCGUAAAAUUGCAGUUGAUACUGGAUAUCUUGAGUGCAGUUGAGGCAGGCGGAAUUCGUGGUGUAGCGGUGAAAUGCUUAGAUAUCACGAAGAACUCCGAUUGCGA